rnacentral:lncRNA from 1 species
GCUCAAAGCAACAAUACUGAACAACUCGUGGAGACACCAUAGCUUUGAAUUCUGUAGUUUUCAGCUCCUAGAUGUGUGUGUUCACUUGUGUAUGCGCACACAUAUGUGCUUGUGUGCAGAGGGCAGAAGUCCGCCUCGGUUGUCUUCUUUCAUCUCUUUUUACUUGAUUGUUCGGACAUGAGAUUUCUCACUGAGCUGGAAUUUACUGAUUCAGCCCAACUGGCUGCCCAGCAAGACCCAGGAGUCCUGUGCCUGCCUCCAGAGCACUGGGGUUACAGGACGCCCAUGAGUUCCCUUAGGUCUGAGAAGCUAGCGACGGGGAACUGUUUCAAGGCCCACAGAACAGGACGCCUGCCGCAGAGAGUGAAACACGGGCGUAAACCUAAACUACGAAAGAAAUUGAAGGAAGCUGGAGAG